rnacentral:rRNA from 1 species
UACGUAGGGUGCAAGCGUUAAUCGGAAUUACUGGGCGUAAAGCGUGCGCAGGCGGUUUUGUAAGUCUGUCGUGAAAGCCCCGGGCUCAACCUGGGAAUUGCGAUGGAGACUGCAAGGCUUGAAUCUGGCAGAGGGGGGUAGAAUUCCACGUGUAGCAGUGAAAUGCGUAGAGAUGUGGAGGAACACCGAUGGCGAAGGCAGCCCCCUGGAUCAAGAUUGACGCUCAUGCACGAAAGCGUGGGGAGCAAACAGG